AAGGGAGAGGAAUAAGUAGAAAUCUACCCUCGGAUCGGGGAUAGCGGCGGGAAACUGCCGGUAAUACCCGAUAACGUCUUUGGACCAAAGGUGUGAUUCCGUCUGAGGAUGAGUCUACUUCCUAUUAGCUAGUUGGCGGGGUAAUGGCCCACCAAGGCAACGAUGGGUAGCAGGUGUGAGAGCAUGACCUGCCUCAUUGGGACUGAGACACUGCCCAGACACCUACGGGUGGCUGCAGUCGAGAAUCUUCGGCGAUGGACGAAAGUCUGACCGAGCGACGCCGCGUGCGGGAUGAAGGCCUUCGGGUUGUAAACCGCUGUCGGAGGGGAACAAAUGUACGGGGGUUCUCCCCUGUAUUUGAGUGAACCUAGGAGGAAGGAGAGGCUAAGCUCGUGCCAGCAGCCGCGGUAAGACGAGCUCUCCGAACGUUAUUCGGUAUCACUGGGCUUAAAGAGUUCGUAGGCGGUCUGGUAGGUGAGGUGUGAAAUCCCCCGGCUCAACCGGGGAACUGCGCUUCAAACCGCCGGACUUGAGGGAGACAGAGGUGGGCGGAACAGAUGGUGGAGCGGUGAAAUGCGUUGA
rnacentral:rRNA from 1 species